GAUGAAGAACGUAGCGAAAUGCGAUAAGUAAUGUGAAUUGCAGAAUUCAGUGAAUCAUCGAAUCUUCGAACGCACAUUGCGCCCGCCAGUAUUCUGGCGGGCAUGCCUGUUCGAGCGUCAUUACAACCCUCAGGCCCCCGGGCCUGGCGUUGGGGAUCGGCGGAGCCCCCCGUGGGCACACGCCGUCCCCCAAAUGCAGUGGCGGUCCCGCCGCAGCUUCCAUCGCGUAGUAGCUAACACCUCGCGACUGGAGAGCGGCGCGGCCACGCCGUAAAACACCCAACUCUUCUGAAGUUGACCUCGAAUCAGGUAGGAAUACCCGCUGAACUUAAGAAUAUCAAUAAGCGGAGGA
rnacentral:misc_RNA from 1 species